rnacentral:rRNA from 1 species
AAGAAGCACCGGCUAACUCCGUGCCAGCAGCCGCGGUAAUACGGAGGGUGCGAGCGUUAAUCGGAAUUACUGGGCGUAAAGCGUACGCAGGCGGUCUGUUAAGUCAGAUGUGAAAUCCCCGGGCUCAACCUGGGAACUGCAUUUGAAACUGGCAGGCUAGAGUCUCGUAGAGGGGGGAGAAUUCCAGGUAUAGCGGUGAAAUGCGUAGAGAUCUGGAGGAAUACCGGUGGCGAAGGCGGCCCCCUGGACGAAGACUGACGCUCAGGUACGAAAGCGUGGGGAGCAAACAGGAUUAGAUACCCUGGUAGUCCACGCUGUAAACGAUGUCGAUUUGAAGGUUGUGGCCUUGAGCCGUGGCUUUCGGAGCUAACGCGUUAAAUCGACCGCCUGGGGAGUACGGCCGCAAGGUUAAAACUCAAAUGAAUUGACGGGGGCCCGCACAAGCGGUGGAGCAUGUGGUUUAAUUCGAUGCAACGCGAAGAGCCUUACCUACUCUUGACAUCCAGAGAACUUGGCAGAGAUGC